AGUGAACGCUGGCGGUAGGCCUAACACAUGCAAGUCGAACGGCAGCACAGUAAGAGCUUGCUCUUACGGGUGGCGAGUGGCGGACGGGUGAGGAAUACAUCGGAAUCUACUUUUUCGUGGGGGAUAACGUAGGGACACUUACGCUAAUACCGCAUACGACCUACGGGUGAAAGCAGGGGAUCUUCGGCCCUUGCGCGAUUGUAUGAGCCGAUGUCGGAUUAGCUAGUUGGCGGGGUAAAGGCCCACCAAGGCGACGAUCCGUAGCUGGUCUGAGAGGAUGAUCAGCCACACUGGAACUGAGACACGGUCCAGACUCCUACGGGAGGCAGCAGUGGGGAAUAUUGGACAAUGGGCGCAAGCCUGAUCCAGCCAUACCGCGUGGGUGAAGAAGGCCUUCGGGUUGUAAAGCCCUUUUGUUGGGAAAGAAAAGCAGCAGGUUAAUACCCCGCUGUUCUGACGGUACCCAAAGAAUAAGCACCGGCUAACUUCGUG
rnacentral:rRNA from 1 species